rnacentral:rRNA from 1 species
GACGAACCGUGCAAACGUUGUUCGGAAUCACUGGGCUUAAAGGGCGCGUAGGCGGCUUGCCAAGUCAGGGGUGAAAUCUUUCGGCUCAACCGGAAAAGUGCCUCUGAUACUGGCGAGCUAGAGGGAGGUAGGGGCAUGUGGAACUUCCGGUGGAGCGGUGAAAUGCGUUGAUAUCGGAAGGAACGCCGGUGGCGAAAGCGACGUGCUGGAUCUCUUCUGACGCUGAGGCGCGAAAGCUAGGGGAGCGAACGGG